CCUACGGGAGGCAGCAGUGGGGGAUAUUGCACAAUGGGGGGAACCCUGAUCCAGCGACGCCGCGUGAGUGAAGAAGUAUUUCGGUAUGUAAAGCUCUGUCAGCAGGGAAGACAGAAAUGACGGUACCUGACCAAGCCGCCCCUGCUAACUACGUGCCAGCAGCCGCGGUAAUACGUAGGGGGCAAGCGUUAUCCGGUAUUACUGGGUGAAAAGGGAGCGUAGACGGUUAAGUAAUUCUGGAGUGAAAGGCCGGGGCCCACCCCCGGGCCUGCGCUGGAAACUCGUGGACUUGAGUGGAGGAGGGGGAAGCGGAAUUCCGAGUGUAGCGGUGAAAUGCGUAGAUAUUAGGAGGAACACCAGUGGCGAAGGCGGCUUACUGGACUAUAACUGACGUUGAGGCUCGAAAGCGUGGGGAGCAAACAGGAUUAGAUACCCGGGUAGGC
rnacentral:rRNA from 1 species